AUGAUAAUUUCUACAGUAUCAUCUUUGCUAAUACCUCCAUUCAUGUUUUUAUCCUGGAGAAAGAGAGGAAAAUUGAAGAGGAUAUGUCACCAAUGUGGCAGUAAAAGCACAGACUGAGACUGAAACUAAUGCAAAGGAGGAGAAGGGCAGUGGUGUUUUGAUUUCAAGUGCUGAAAUGGAAAGAUAUUCUGUGCAGCCAAACUGCUCUCAUGUGCAUGUGCACCAGCCAGCCUGUGAUGAAGCUGUACA